UAAACUUAGUUAUGACAAAAUUGAAGUUGAGGCUAACUUGAAAGGUUUCUAAGGGUGUUUUGAAGCCAGAUUGAAUUCAUAUUUCUAGUUUCAACCUAUGAAGUCCACUUCUGAUGAUUGUACUCUUUAUCAUCAGACCAAAACACCAAUCGGUUUUUGGUGUAGGCGAGGAUUGAAUUCUAGAUCUUUUAUUCAACUAUCAGAGACUUUACCAGUUGAACUAAUUAAAUAUACAUUGAUCAUCUAUAGAGGUAUUUGUCGAACUCCAUAAUUUUUCCUUAAUGAUCUAUAUUUGCAUUCAAGGUACCACCUAACUCAAUUUUAUUGUUUUUAUUAAAAAAAAAAAUGUAUUGGAUAUUAUAUUGUUUGUGCAUGAGAUAGAGAUGGAGCUUCAACAUUAUAGACAUGAGCAUCCAUUGGAUUUCAAUAAAGCCAAGGGAAUAGGAUUGCUUUGUUCGAUGGUUCGAGGAGGGGGGAUUUGUACCCCGGAUGUCUCUAUUGGAAACACCAAAAAAUGCCAGUUGAGUUACAAGACUCUAAGAUUUCUUUGUUCUGGGUGCUUAGAACUAGUUUUGGAUCCUAGGUCCAGGUGUGUAGAAUGCAAAGGAUGCUACCAUCAUAAAUCAUGUGCGGAACUACCUUCGAAUUGCAAUAUCCAUUGCACAUAAAACAUCCUCUUAUUCUCUUUGAAAAAGUGCAUUUUACGAGGACAAAGGAUAUAGCAAAUGCAAAAUACGCAAAUAAAAAAAAAUUUCUAGAUGUACUUAUUGUUGCUCUUGUUACGAUUUUGACCUUCAAAAUAAAUGUACUUCUUUACCAUCCACCAUGGAAGCUGAAGUUCACAACCACCCAUUGAUCAUCAUUUGGAAGUGGGUCACGUUCACUUGCGACCUUUGUGGCAAAGAAGGCAAUGGUGUGUAGAAUGCAAAGGAUGUAGCAUCAUAAAUCAUGUGUGGAACUACCUUUGAAUUACAAUAUCCCUUGCGCACAAGACAUCCUCUUAUUCUCUUUGAAAAAUCGAUUUUAUGAGGACAAAGGUUAUAGCAAAUGAAAAAUAUGCAAAAAAAAUUGUUUCGGAUGCA